CCUACGGGUGGCAGCAGUCGAGAAUCAUUCACAAUGGGGGAAACCCUGAUGGUGCGACGCCGCGUGGGGGAAUGAAGGUCUUCGGAUUGUAAACCCCUGUCAUGUGGGAGCAAAUUAAAAAGAUAGUACCACAAGAGGAAGAGACGGCUAACUCUGUGCCAGCAGCCGCGGUAAUACAGAGGUCUCAAGCGUUGUUCGGAAUCACUGGGCGUAAGGCGUGCGUAGGCUGUUUCGUAAGUCGUGUGUGAAAGGCGCGGGCUCACCCCGCGGACGGCACAUGAUACUGCGAGACUAGAGUAAUGGAGGGGGAACCGGAAUGCUCGGUGUAGCAGUGAAAUGCGUAGAUAUCGAGAGGAACACUCGUGGCGAAGGCGGGUUCCUGGACAUUAACUGACGCUGAGGCACGAAGGCCAGGGGAGCGAAAGGGAUUAGAUACCCCGGUAGUC
rnacentral:rRNA from 1 species